rnacentral:SRP_RNA from 1 species
UAUCGGUCCCCUCGCAUCGCGAUGUUGCAAAUCCCGUCAGGCCCGGAAGGGAGCAGCGGUAGUAGCGGAAGCGAGUGCCGGGGUGUGGCUGGUACGG